GUGCUCACUUCAGCAGCACAUAUACUAAAAUUGGAACGAUACAGAGAAGAUUAGCAUGGCCCUACGCAAGAAAAUAUUUUCUUGAAGAACCCAUUUCUGCUCUU